UAAUCAGCUCCGGCCAUCCCCCGACAUCCUUAGCCUGUGUCUGCAAAAAAGCUACGAAAAGCUCCCUAUAUGCGCCGCGCCCUUCCCGGGGAAUCCCAGUUGGCCUCAGAUCCACAACUCCGUCAGCAGGACCUCAGAGAGGGGUGCUGAAAAUUGGGGUUAAAUUAUGAUGGGCUAUUUACGCCUUCGGGGUGCGCUGUAGGGCAGCCGCAUCGAAAUGAGAGCAGCCGAGGUGGUGCCGAGCCGCGCACCAAAAGUUUCCGUGAGGAUCGCCGGGGUGUUCCCUCAGACUCCAGCUCAUACAAGCAUGUAGCUCGGAGGAAAAGUAACCCGGAGAUCGGCGAUGAGCUUGAUUAUCGUAUAAAAAUUCGUAAUGGGGAACUGUCUUGUCUGUUGACCUCAGUAUUUCGGCUAAAGUCCUGCAUGGUGUAAGAGCUGUGAAAAAGCCCCGGUUUUGCACGCAUUCUAACCAUAAAGAAUGCUGUUAUUCGAGCCUCGGUCACUCUUAUUGUCACUGUGUCUCUGCCACUGUCAUUGAGGGAUCUAAUGUCUCAGUGAUGACAUUACCUGACUGAUGUUUCCUGUUUAUUUCUUUUUAAAUGACAAUACCAAGCACUCGCAAAACAUUUUGCACUUUACAGCAAUAUCGAGCAUUAACUAAUGAGCCUGCUCACACCCAGAUGAGCUAUAUGAUACCAUUAUUACAUGCAGGUGGUCAGAGUGACUUCCUCAGGGGUAUUGUGAGUCAGUGCCAGAGGUAGCAUUAUGCUCCUGGUCCUAUUUCGCAUUCAUUCCAGCAGACUGUAGAGCUUUACACACCUGGAAGGUUUGCAAAACCAUUAUGAAUUAUUUAUUGAUUCAUUUUGAUAGUUUCAUUGAUUAAUGCAUCAAUUUAUUUCAUGUAAAAGGCUUCAGCUGUGAAAUUCAGUCUCUUAUUCAUUCACUAGAUCCUAAAAUUGUCAGUUUUCAAAACUUGUAUUUGCAAUCCUGUGAUGUGCUGAGUGCCCACCCUUUUCAAUUAGUACAGAAAAAUAUUCUCAUAAUCUGUUUUGGUGGAAGGAAAGGGAUAUUUUGGUGUGACUCUGUCAACUUUCAUUCUGCAUCUUGACCUUGUGUUGAACCAUUUUUUUCUUUAUGCUGAAAGGAGUGAGAAGGAACUCUUUACAAACAAACUAUGGGCCAGAUUUGGAGAAGUGAAAGAAGCAGUGGGGGGGAACCAUGAAUUCCAUAGGAAUUGCACUAAUUGACACAGACUGUUACUCGCUGAAGACUGUCCUACAUGUCUGGAUUUAGAGAAAAAGAAGAGAGAGACAAGGAAAAAGAAAAAUGAGGGGGGUAUACAUUAGAAGGGGUAUAAUGCAUUUCGGGAAGUCUGUACCUCUCAAGUACCUCAGCCAAUGGGGAGAGAGAGAGGGAAAUGUGGCCAGGAAAUUAGGAUUAAAAGGAGGCUGCAUCCCCUAAAAAGUUUGAGUGACCCCAUGGGGAAUGACCUCUCCCUUUAUUCAAAUAAAGUUACAGGACUCCUCUGUCUCCUUUUUGGACAUAAACCUCUGAUGUUUGUGGCUUAAUUUUCCUGAUAACACCUUUGUUCAUGGAUCCUUUGUAAAGUCAAAUUUAACCAAUAAACUUAUUGAGGUCUUA